rnacentral:rRNA from 1 species
UACAUGGGGUGCAAACGUUGCUCGGAAUUAUUGGGCGUAAAGCGCACGUAGGCGGUUUGUUAAGUCGGAUGUGAAAUCCCUCGGCUCAACUGAGGAAGUGCAUCCGAAACUGGCAGGCUUGAGUACUAAAGAGGGUCGCGGAAUUCCCGGUGUAUAGGUGAAAUUCGUAGAUAUCGGGAGGAACACCGGUGGCGAAGGCGGCGACCUGGGUAGAUACUGACGCUGAGGUGCGAAAGCGUGGGGAGCAAACAGG